rnacentral:misc_RNA from 1 species
UUUGUAUUAUUGUUUUUAAAAAAGUAGUAAUUUUUUGUUAUUGCUAAAAGACCUACCUAAAGUGAUUAGUAAUUCCGAACGACGCAACGUAGUUGGAAAUCGCGGUGAAAAUAGCUCAGAAAAUAUUCAUGGGAUUAAGCCUUUUUCUUUAAUUUGGAAUAACACAAAAAAAUAUGAACAAUAGUGUCAUUGUUUUUCAUUCCUAAUUAAUACCUUUUGUUCUAAUUGCAACGUAGAUAGCGGUGGGAAUAAAGGGUUACAGUUACCUGGUUACUUUUGUUUUUGUGAAAAUUGAAAUAUAUUAAUACAUUCACCAUUUCAUCGUAAGUUAUAUAAUUUUGUUUACCUAACCAAUGGCCACUAUAGACGGUAACUGUACGGGGUGCAGCGGUGAAGAUUUAUUACCAUCUCUCAAAUAUAUAGAACAAUGCUUGAUUUGCGGUCAACAAAUGACACCUGAAAAUGCGUCAAAUCUUGGCCAGAAAGCGAUUGAAACAUCUGUUAAGGCUAAAAAUAACUGUGACAACAUUAUCAGUAUUACUAAUUAUAUUUUACGCGGAGCUGGAAAUCAAACUCAUUAUGAAUAUGAAGUAAAAAUAAACACAACUGAUGAUAAAUGGACUGUAUACCGAAGGUACAGUAGAUUUCGAGAACUAUACCUCGUUAUGAAGAGUAAAUAUGGACAAAAGGUGUCAAAUAUUCCUUUUCCACCUCGGCAACUAUUUAGGAAUACUGAAGCUGUUGCAAAAAAUAGAAAACGACAAUUAGAAACUUAUUUACGGCUUUUAAUACAAUCCCUAGGAGAACCAAUUACCAGGGAGGCUUUAAUCAAUAUUUCCCCAUUCUUCAAAAAGGGUAUUUUUGAAAAUGGAAAAUAUAGUACAAGUUGAAAUUGGAAUAUUAUAAUAUAUGUAGUAUUAUGCUCUACUAUAUAUUUCUGUAAUUUUUGCUAUCUUACAUAUUUUGGCCUGUUACUUUACUAUAGUUUCAUGACAUCUUCUCUUCAAAAUAAUCGAUAAUUAUAAACACUUAAAUGUUAUAAUAUCUUAAAUGAUAACUAUUGUUAUAAUCGAGAAGGUAACUUAGUAGGUGACUACAGGCGUUAAAUUUGUAAAUAACACCUAUUACAAAAAAUUUGUUUAGAAUCAGUAUCGAUAAUGUAUCAAAAGCAAUUUGCAGAAUAAUUUGAGAAAUGCUAUUUUUAAUCUCUUGAAAUCAACCAUCUGGUUAUAAACGUACUGAUUUUCCAACAAUCUUCAAUCAAAAGUUGCAGAAAGGUUUUUUUACUAAUAUUAAGUACGGACAUGUUCUCUCCUUUAUUUUAAGAAAACCAAUUUUUUAGCGUUAUUUGUAGUAAUUUCUUUUAUAUAUUGUUGGAGAUGAACAGUUUGAAUGAAGAUUAAAAACCUUUUUUAACAAUAUGUGAAAUCUAAGAAUUAUCAAUUUAUUAACUGUUAAGUGUAGGUACGAAACAAAAUUUAAAAAAUAACUUAGAUUAACAUAACUAUUACAGCAAAUGCUCCAAUUGUAUCCAAUGAUAAUUUAUCUAUACACAGGCGGGCAGUUUUAAUAAAAAAUUUUUGAAUGUAUGCCACCAUUCUGAGCAGUUUUCUCAAAAAUCACCUCAUUGGUGCUUUCAAAUAUUAAAAAUGCCUGUCUGUGCCUAAUUAAUAAUGGGAUCCAAUUCGAUUAUUUGCUGUAGGAUAUUUCUUUUAAUUUUGUUUCGUAAAUACUUAGUAUCUAGUUAAUAAAUCUUUAACAGUAAAUAGAAGGAAAUGUUGCGAAAAAAAACAAUGUUACUAUAAUUUAGCGUUUAUGAAUACUACUAACGCUAUCACCCCAUCUUAGUAUACCUUUGACUUAUCUUUUUGAGAAACAGAUGUACUUAUGGCCUUAUUGUUUUGAGUAAGUACAAUAUUAAAAAAACGCUCUUAUUUUAAUUUAUAAAUGAAACAAAGUUGUGGUAAUGAAAAAAGAAUAAAUUCAUAUGAAAGAAUGUUUGUAUUUUAAUUUUAUGAGUAUAUGUAAGGACAACUGAAUCGAUCACAGCGAUCAUUGUGAAAUUUUCGUUAAAUCAUGUUCACGUUCAGAAUAAACAAGUAAAAAGUAAUAUUAAAAAUGGAGGCAUAAUAGUUGCUGUGUAGUUAAUUGUAAUAAUACCGCCAGAAAUGGUGACUGCAAAUUUUAUGCAUUUCCAAUGCUAGUUGGAAAUUAAAAAAAAGUAAGAAAUGGAUAAAUGCAGUUGAGAGAAAAGAAUAAGUAGUGUAUAACCUAACUAACAUUUUGUAAUAAUGUAAUGAUAAUUAAUUGGAAUUAUAUAAUUUUGUGUCCAUUUUUAUUAAAAAAAAACAAUUAAAUUUUUGUUGAACAGAAUAGGUAUUUCACAUAAAUAUGUAGUAUCGAAA